GCAAGGCAACUCAAACUUGAAGACAUGGAGUCCCCAAGGAGAACCACUUUGUGCUUUGUGAUUAUUGCGAUUUAUUCUUCCCAAGCUACACUGAGUUUGAAUUUAGAGUCUAUUGUUUAUCAUUCGCUUCUCCAUGAACAUGAGCUAAUGGAGGAGGACCCAGUAAGACCAAAACGAGCUGUUGCCGUAAGCAGCCAUGCAGCUCAAGAGUUCACCGUCGAUGUUGAGAUCAGUUUUGAAAAUGCCUCCUUCCUGGAGCCUAUUAAAGCUUACUUGAACAACCUCAGUUUUCCAAUUCAAGGGAAUGACACUGACCUAGCUACCGAUAUUUUGAGCAUCGAGGUGUCAACAGUCUGUAGACCUAACGGAAAUGAAAUCUGGUGCUCCUGUGAGACAGGCUAUGAGUGGCCUCAGGAAAGUUGCCUCCACAAUCUCACUUGCCAGGGACAUGAUGGUUCCUCUGCAGGGCAUCACUGCCAUUGCCUUAAGGGACUGCCUCCCAAGGGACCUUUCUGCCAGCUCCAGGGAGAUGUUAUCCUGAGAAUGUCGGUCAGACUCAAUGUGGGCUUUCAAGAAGAUCUUAGGAACUCUUCCUCUGCCCUGUAUAAGUCCUACACGACUGACCUGGAAACAGCGUUCUGGAAGGGUUACAGUAUUUUACCAGGCUUCAAAUUGGUGACAGUGACAGGAUUCAGGCCUGGAAGUGUGGUUGUGACGUACGAAAUCACCACAACAACAACAACAUCACCUGCGUUAAUGCAUAAAGCGAACGAGAAAGUCACACAGAACCUCAAUCAGACCUACAAGGUGGACAGCAGUUCCUUUCAGGUUACUUACAGCAAUGAAACGAAAUUCUCCAUCACACCAGAAAUCAUCUUUGAAGGAGAUACAGUAACCCUGACGUGUGAGAAUGAAGUGUUUUCCACCAAUGUGUCCUGGAUGCACGUGGAAACGGGCCUCGACAUCCAGAACAGCACUGAAGUCUCCAUCUACACCUCCAUGCUCAACAACAUGACCUCCGUGUCGCGCCUUAUUAUCCACAACAUCACUCGGGUUUACAUGGGUGAAUACAUUUGCAAACUGACAUUAGAUAUUUUUGAAUAUGCAUCCAGAAGAAAAUUGGAAGUUAUACCCAUCCAGAUACUGGCAAGUGAAGCUGUGGAGGUGAUGUGUGACAACAAUCCUGUGUCUUUGAACUGCUGCAGUGAGGUGAAUGUGAAUUGGAGUCAAAUUGAAUGGAAGCAGGAAGGGAGUAUAAGCAUUCCAGGAAAUGCUGAAAUAGACACAGACAGUGGCUGCAGCAGAUACACCCUCAUGGCCAAUGAGACUCAGUGUCCGAGCGGGUCGUCUGGAACGACAGUGGUCUACACGUGUGAGUUCAUCAGUGCCCACGGAGCCAGAGGCAGAAAGGACAUAGAAGUGACAUUCAUCUCUGUAGCCAAGCUAAACAUAACCCCGGACCUAAUUUCUGUUUCUGAGGGACAAAGCUUUUUUAUAAAGUGCAUCAGCGAUAUGAGUAACUAUGAUGAGAUGUACUGGAACACUUCUGCUGGAGCUAAAAUAUACAAAAGGUUUUAUACCACGAGGAGGUAUUCGGACAGAGCAGAGUCGGUGCUGACAGUGAAGACCUCAACCAGGGAGUGGAAUGGAACCUAUCACUGCGUAUUUCGAUACAAGACUUUGUACAGGGUCAUGGCCAAAGAUGUCAUCGUGUACCCGCUGCCUCUAGAGUCCAACAUCAUGGUUGAUCCUGUGGAAGCUGCAAUUCCAUGCCGAAGCUCCCGUCACAUCAGAUGCUGCGUUGAGGAAGAUUCAGACUACAAGGUCAUUUUUCAAGUGGGUUCCUCGUCUUUUCCUGCUGUAAAAGAGGUUGAUGAAAAGCAAGUGUGCUACAAACACCAUUUCACGGCAGACUCAGUUUCCUGUCCAGAAAACGUGGAUGUGUUUUGCCACUUUACCAAUGCCGCUAAUAAUUCAGUCCAGAGCCCGUCUAUGAAGCUUAACCUGGUUCCUGGGGAGAGCAUCACUUGCCAGGAUCCUAUCCUAGGUGUUGGGGAGCCUGGGAAAGUCAUCCAGAAGCUUUGCCAGUUCUUGAACAUUACCAGAAGCCGUGAGAGUCCUGUUGGAGGGAUCAUAACUUAUAGAUGCGUGGGUUCCCAGUGGCAGAUCGAGAAAAAUGACUGCAUCUCUGCUCCAAUAAAUGCUCUGCUCCAGCUGGCCAAGGCUUUGGUUAAGAGCCCUACGCAGGAUGAGAAGCUCCCGUCCUACCUAGGGAAUCUUUCCAUUAGCACAAAGCAAGCGAAACUUGAAGUCGACUCAUUUUCUGGGACCCUGGGAGCUAUUAUUAACAUUCUGGACCUGUUCUCAACAGUUCCAACCCAAGUGAAUUCAGAAAUGAUGACGCACGUCCUCUCCACGGUCGAUAUCAUCCUUGGCAAGUCUGCCUUGAAUACCUGGAAGAUGUCACAGCAACAAAAAACCAAUUAUAGCUCGCAGCUAUUGGAUUCAGUGGAAAGAUUUUCCCGAGUUUUAAGGGCAGAAGACAGCACCAUCUCCCAACCUAACGUGCAGAUGAAGAGCAUGGUCAUAAAACCUGGCCACCCCCAAUCGUACAGGCAGAGCUUUGUCUUCUUAGACUCUGACCUCUGGGGCAACGUGACCAUCAGUGGAUGCCAGCUGGAGCACCUGCAGCCAGAUUCGUUUGUCGUCACCGUGGCUUUCCCAACUCUCAAAACCAUCCUCGACCGGGAUGUUCUGGGAGAGAAUUUUGCCAACAGCCUGGUGAUGACCACCACCGUCAGCCGCAGAAUAACCACACCAUUCAGGAUUCUGAUGACUUUCAAAAACAGCCACCCUUCGGGCGGGAUACCGCAGUGUGUCUUCUGGAACUUCAACCUAGCCAACCACACCGGGGGGUGGGACAACAGUGGGUGCUAUGUGAAAGAAGUCACCGAGGACAGUGUGUCCUGCAGCUGUGAACACCUCACCUCCUUCUCCAUCCUCAUGUCCCCCGACUCCCCAGACCCCGACUCGCUCCUGAAAAUCCUGCUGGAUAUCAUUUCCUACAUCGGGCUGUGCUUUUCCAUCUUGAGCUUAGCGGCCUGCCUCGUCGUGGAGGCCGUGGUGUGGAAAUCGGUGACCAAGAACCGGACCUCCUCCAUGCGGCACACCUGCAUCGUCAACAUCACCGCUUCCCUGCUGGUGGCCGACGUCUGGUUCAUCGUGGCCGCCGCCAUCCACGACCAUCGCUUCCCGCUCAACGAGACGGCCUGUGUGGCCGCCACCUUCUUCAUCCACUUCUUCUACCUCAGCGUCUUCUUCUGGAUGCUGACCCUGGGCCUCAUGCUCUUCUACCGCCUGGUUUUCAUCCUGCACGACACAAGCAAGUCCAUUCAGAAGACGAUCGCCUUUUCCCUGGGGUAUGGCUGCCCUCUGGUCAUCUCAGUCAUCACGGUGGGGGCCACCCAGCCCCGGGAGGUCUACAUGAGGAAGAAUGCCUGCUGGCUCAACUGGGAGGACACCAAGGCCCUGCUGGCCUUCGUCAUCCCGGCCCUGAUCAUCGUGGUGGUGAACAUGACCAUCACGGUUGUGGUCAUCACCAAGAUCCUGAGGCCUUCCAUCGGGGACAAGCCGAGCAAGCAGGAGAAGAGCAGCCUGUUCCAGGUCACCAAGAGCAUUGGGGUCCUCACGCCGCUCCUGGGGCUCACCUGGGGUUUCGGUCUGGCCACCGUGUUCCAGGGGAGCAACGCCGUGUUCCACAUUGUGUUUACGCUCCUCAAUGCCUUCCAGGGAUUAUUCAUUUUACUCUUUGGAUGCCUCUGGGAUCAGAAGGUGCAGGAAGCCUUGCUGAAUAAGUAUUCACGGUCAAAAUGGUCUUCACAGCACUCAAAGUCAACAUCCAUAGGUUCAUCUACACCUGUAUUUUCUAUGAGUUCUCCAAUAUCAAGAAGAUUUAACAAUUUGUUUGGUAAAACAGCAGCCCCAAGGGCUCCCCCAGGCAAUGAUGGAAACCCUGUUAGCCGUGGCAGUCCGCCCAUCUGAUGGAACAUACAAUGUUUCCACCCCCGAAACAACCAGUUCAUCCCUGGAAAACACGUCCAGUGCUUAUUCAUUGCUCAACUAAGGACAGGAAAAUCCAGCCCAUGGGACCUCUUGGGAAACAGUGGAUGUGCUCUGCAAAAGAGAUCCUUUCCAAGCCGUGGAUAACAUGUUUUUUCUACAGGCCUCUGGGAGCAGAUGCUUAAGAGACUUUUUCAUGAAGGAAGAGGCUUUCUUUUGUAAAGACAGACCAAAGGAAAUUGUUGCAUUUAUGUUGCUGCCCCACCCCUGUCUCCUGUGUGAUACCAAAUGUGUAUAGUAUUUAAUUGAAACUCAUGCCAACUUCUCUGUCUAUAUUGUAAAGUAGAAUUUCAGAGACAUUUUUCCUUUUCACACCCUGGGCCCAAAGAUAAGCUUUGAUUAAAAUAAUAAGUAAAAGGCCAGGACUUAGGAAACUCUUCAGUGAAUUCUAGGAAGGAAAGAUGGAAGAGAGGAAGAAAGAAAGGAGAGACAGAGGAAACUACCAGGAAAAAAUAUAGAGAAUAACAGAAGGACCACGUGUUAAGAUUUCUAUGUUAAUGACCCACUACUUUUACUACUCAGAUAAUGCAACACUGAAAAUUAAAAAUGUCUCCAAAAUGAAAACUGAAAAUUAGCCAUGGAGAAAGUUGAAUAUUUUCCUGGUGUUUUCUUAGCUAAGAGAGAUCAAAAAAGGAAAAAAAAAAAAAAGGCAAUGAAAAAAUAGGGAGGAAAUUAUAUCGUCAAGAUGCUUUUAAGUGAAUGAUGAUAUUUACAAGAAUUUCACAGAAGACAGGACUCUCCUUAUGCUAAACACAUACGUAUGUGUUACUGUGUGUUAAGGUUGAAGCUAAGAGGAAUGAAUGGACAGAGGAAGUGUGAUUAGAUUAUUAGAUCCCAGCUGACCACCUGCUGAUUACAUUUUUAUUAUUAAUAGUUUAGCAGAACAGCCUUAGGUUUUGGUUUGUUCCACUCUUUGUAAGCAAAAAUAUAUAUAUUUGUCUAUCCAUUCAUUUCCAAAUGUGAUAUAUUGCACUGAAAACAGACCCUCCCAACUGUCAUGAAUUAUAUUUAACAGCUUUAACCAGGUACUUUUCUGUGCAUGCUAGAAAAGAUUUUAAUGAUCUUACAGUGUUGUACAUUAUUAUUUUUGUAGUUACUGUGGAUUGAGAGGCCCUGGAUGUGCUGUAUAGCUCUGUGUUAAUUCUUUCAGUUCCUAAGUUCCCAGACCAAUAUACAUUUGGAGUUUUCUGCUGUCUAAAUGGCAUUUAUUCUAACUACUUAGAAAUCUUCUGGAAAAGCUCUACAGCGGGCUAGUCUGUGCUCCUAAUGACACUUUACCUUGAUGAACAGAUGGUGCAGAUUGUUUGUGAACUAUGUGCAUGUGUGUGUUUCACCUGUGUGUGUGCAUUUCAUAAAAAUAUAAUAUAAAUAUUUAUUAAAAUAUUAUCCAUAGCAAAGUUUACCCUGUGCUGUAGCUACAGCAACCAAAUAUUCCAAAUCAAAGUCUGAUCCUAGGGCCAUAAUGAAAUAGAAUAAAAAAUGUGGGACUUCUCUGAAAAUACGGGCA
rnacentral:lncRNA from 1 species